rnacentral:lncRNA from 1 species
AAAAUGGAUUUGAAUAGACCUUUAUAUAUUGAUGAAUAAAGCUGAAAAUUUGUAACUCAAUGGGAAUAACAAGGCAACAAUUGUGGGACUGAGAUGCUGAAAUUACGAACUGGAACCUCGACAUAGAAGCCUCACCUGACAGAUGAAGAUGGCAGAAGUUUUAGUUGGUUUAAAGCUGUUUUUGGAGUUGUUUGGUGGCUGAUUUUUGGUGGGUGUUGAGGGCGGUAUCUGCUGCGUUUUGGGGUGGUUUUGCUGAGGUUUUUGAGCUGGUUAGUGAGUGUUUCACGGUGGUCUUAAAGUAGUGUUAAUUGCUGGUUGAAGGUGGCUUUGGGGUUAGUUUUUAGGCCGAUAUUUGGAGCUACUGUUACUGAUUUUUCAUGGUUAAAAUGGGGGAUUUACAACUGUUUAAGGAAGAUAUUGGAGGGCUGAUUUGGGGCUGUUUUUGGACAGUGUUUGGCAUGGUUUAACUGGGGUUUUGUGGCUGUGUUCUCAUCGAGAUACUGAUGUGUUUUUGCAGGUAUUGAGACUCAUUUUAGUGGCUUUUUCAGAGCUUUUGCAGCCAGCUUUCAUGGCUGUUUGGUGGGGUUCAUGAGGUUCACUCUGGUUUUUUAUUUUUUUGUUCCUCUUUCUAGAUCCGUUCCCCCCAGAUGUUCACGUCUCUGUUAUUCACCUCCCUUUCAUGUGUGUGUAUGUAUUAUAUAGCUGAAUGAGAGUAUUUUUUUGUGUCAAUUGAAGAGCAAGAAAGGUUAUAGAUAAGGCCAAACGAAAAGUAUUUCCUGAUGAAAGAGUUCAAUGUGGCAGCUAUGUGUGUUUCACAUGAGAGUUAGUAUAAAAAAAAUCC